rnacentral:rRNA from 1 species
AUUGAACGCUGGCGGCAUGCUUUACACAUGCAAGUCGAACGGUAACAGGCCGCAAGGUGCUGACGAGUGGCGAACGGGUGAGUAAUGCAUCGGAACGUGCCCAGACGUGGGGGGAUACCGCAGCGAAAGCUGCGCUAAUAACGCAUACGAUCUAUGGAUGAAUGCGGGGGACCGUAAGGCCUCGGGCGAUUGGAGAGGACGAUGUCAGAUUAGGUAGUUGGUGGGAUAAAGGCUCACCAAGCCAACGAUCUGUAGCUGGUCUGAGAGGACGACCAGCCACACUGGGACUGAGACACGGCCCAGACUCCUACGGGAGGCAGCAGUGGGGAAUUUUGGACAAUGGGCGCAAGCCUGAUCCAGCAAUGCCGCGUGCAGGAAGAAGGCCUUCGGGUUGUAAACUGCUUUUGUACGGAACGAAAAGGCUCUGGAUAAUACCUGGGGCUCAUGACGGUACCGUAAGAAUAAGCACCGGCUAACUACGUGCCAGCAGCCGCGGUAAUAC